rnacentral:rRNA from 1 species
AUUGAACGCUGGCGGCAGGCUUAACACAUGCAAGUCGAGCGGGGUGAUGGUGCUUGCACUAUCACUUAGCGGCGGACGGGUGAGUAAUGCUUAGGAAUCUGCCUAUUAGUGGGGGACAACAUCUCGAAAGGGAUGCUAAUACCGCAUACGUCCUACGGGAGAAAGCAGGGGCUCACUUGUGACCUUGCGCUAAUAGAUGAGCCUAAGUCGGAUUAGCUAGUUAGUGGGGUAAAGGCCUACCAAGGCGACGAUCUGUAGCGGGUCUGAGAGGAUGAUCCGCCACACUGGGACUGAGACACGGCCCAGACUCCUACGGGAGGCAGCAGUGGGGAAUAUUGGACAAUGGGGGGAACCCUGAUCCAGCCAUGCCGCGUGUGUGAAGAAGGCCUUAUGGUUGUAAAGCACUUUAAGCGAGGAGGAGGCUCUUUUGGUUAAUACCCAAGAUGAGUGGACGUUACUCGCAGAAUAAGCACCGGCUAACUCUGUGCCAGCCGCCGCCGUAC